rnacentral:lncRNA from 1 species
UUGGAUAUCGAGCUAUGGAAUUAACCGUACAGGAUCAACUGCAGGGUCUCCGGUUGAUUCAUUAUGUCACCUGUUAUAUUGAUGCAUUUAUAAUCUAUUAUUGACAUUUAUGGCAUGGCAUAUUUUCUGGAUUUGAUGAAAAAUUGAUGAUUUGAGAUAUAUGAGGAAUUAUACACUAUUAUGUUAUUUUCUGGGAAAGUAUACAGGUUUUACAGUGAGGGGUUAGAAUUGUUUUUGAUGAAAUGUUU